rnacentral:rRNA from 1 species
GACGAACGCUGGCGGCGUGCUUAACACAUGCAAGUCGAACGGAAAGGCCUCUUUCGGGGGGUACUCGAGUGGCGAACGGGUGAGUAACACGUGAGUAACCUGCCCUUGACUUUGGGAUAACUUCAGGAAACUGGGGCUAAUACCGGAUAAUAUAUUGAACCGCAUGGUUCAAUAGUGAAAGACGGUUUUGCUGUCACUUAUAGAUGGAUCCGCGCCGCAUUAGCUAGUUGGUAAGGUAACGGCUUACCAAGGCGACGAUGCGUAGCCGACCUGAGCGGGUGAUCGGCCACACUGGAACUGAGACACGGUCCAGACUCCUACGGGAGGCAGCAGUAGGGAAUCUUCCGCAAUGGGCGAAAGCCUGACGGAGCAACGCCGCGUGAGUGAUGAAGGUCUUCGGAUCGUAAAACUCUGUUAUUAGGGAAGAACAAAUGUGUAAGUAACUAUGCACGUCUUGACGGUACCUAAUCAGAAAGCCACGGCUAACUACGUG